UACGGAGGGGGCAAGCGUUAUUCGGAAUUAUUGGGCGUAAAGGGCGCGUAGGCGGCUAGAUGUGUCAAAGGUGAAAUCCCUCGGCUCAACUGAGGAACUGCCUUUGAAACUGUCUGGCUUGAGGCCGGGAGAGGGUAGCGGAAUUCCCAGUGUAGCGGUGAAAUGCAUAGAUAUUGGGAGGAACACCAGUGGCGAAGGCGGCUACCUGGACCGGUUCUGACGCUGAGGCGCGAAAGCGUGGGUAGCAAACAGG
rnacentral:rRNA from 1 species